ensembl:snRNA U1 U1 spliceosomal RNA
UAAAUUAUCUGGCAGGGGAGAUACCGUGAUCACGAAGGUGGUUUUCCCAGGGAGAGGCUUAUCCAUUGAACCCCAGAUGUGCUGACCCCUGCGAUUUCCCCAAAUGUGGGAAACUCGACUGCAAAAUUUGUGGUAGUGGGGGACUGCGUUCACGCUCUCCCGUU